AUUUGAAAUCUGGCGUGCUCAGUGCGUCCGAGUUGUAAUCUAUAGAGUCGUUUUCCGUGCCGGACUGUGUCCAAGUCCCUUGGAACAGGGUAUCAAAGAGGGUGAUAAUCCCGUACUUGACACAAUGACCGGUGCUCUGUGAUACGUCUUCUACGAGUCGAGUUGUUUGGGAAUGCAGCUCAAAAUGGGUGGUGAGUUCCAUCUAAAGCUAAAUAUUGGCGAGAGACCGAUAGCGAACAAGUACCGUGAGGGAAAGAUGAAAAGCACUUUGGAAAGAGAGUUAAACAGUACGUGAAAUUGUUAAAAGGGAAACGAUUGAAGUCAGUCGUGACUGAGAGGCUCAGCCGGUUCUGCCGGUGUAUUCCCCUCAGUCGGGUCAACAUCAGUUUUGUUCGGUGGAUAAGGGCAGUUGGAAGGUGGCACCCUCGGGUGUGUUAUAGCCAGCUGUCGCAUACAUCGGAUGAGACUGAGGAAUGCAGCUCGCCUUUAUGGCCGGGGUUCGCCCACGUUCGAGCUUAGGAUGUUGACAUAAUGGCUUUAAACGACCCGUCUGAAACACGGA
rnacentral:rRNA from 1 species